GCGGUAAUUCGUAAAAGACUAGUGUUAUUCAUCUUUAAUAGGUUUAAAGGGUACUUAGACGGUAAAUAAAGCCCGAAUAGGGAACUAAUAUACUAGAGUUUGAUGUAAGGAAGCAUGAAAGUACUGUUGGUGUAGAGAUAAAAUUCUAUCAUACCAAAUAUGGCACAGGUUUAGGCGAAAGCAUCUUCUUAUGUAAUAACUGACGUUGAAGGACGAAGGCUUUGUCUCUCGAACAGGAUUAGAUACCCCAGUAGUCUAAGCAGACAAUGAUGAAUGUCAUAGAUUAGAUUUAAUUAAAUUUAUUCUAUAAAUGAAAGUGUAAGCAUUCCACCUCAAGAGUAAUUUGGCAACAUUGGAACUGAAAUCAUUAGACCGUUUCUGAAACCAGUAGUGAAGUAUGUUGUUUAAUUAGAAGAUACGCAAAAAACCUUACCACAAUUUGAAUUAGUAAUAUGUUUUCACAAGCGUUGCACGGCUG
rnacentral:rRNA from 1 species